rnacentral:rRNA from 1 species
GUGGGGAAUAUUGGACAAUGGGCGAAAGCCUGAUCCAGCCAUGCCGCGUGUGUGAAGAAGGCCUUUUGGUUGUAAAGCACUUUAAGCGAGGAGGAGGCUACCGAGAUUAAUACUCUUGGAUAGUGGACGUUACUCGCAGAAUAAGCACCGGCUAACUCUGUGCCAGCAGCCGCGGUAAUACAGAGGGUGCAAGCGUUAAUCGGAUUUACUGGGCGUAAAGCGCGCGUAGGUGGCCAAUUAAGUCAAAUGUGAAAUCCCCGAGCUUAACUUGGGAAUUGCAUUCGAUACUGGUUGGCUAGAGUAUGGGAGAGGAUGGUAGAAUUCCAGGUGUAGCGGUGAAAUGCGUAGAGAUCUGGAGGAAUACCGAUGGCGAAGGCAGCCAUCUGGCCUAAUACUGACACUGAGGUGCGAAAGCGUGGGGAGCAAACAGGAUUAGAAACCCUGGUAGUCC